CAGUCGCCGCGGUAAUACGUAGGGUGCAAGCGUUAAUCGGAAUUACUGGGCGUAAAGCGUGCGCAGGCGGUUAUAUAAGACAGAUGUGAAAUCCCCGGGCUCAACCUGGGAACUGCAUUUGUGACUGUAUAGCUAGAGUACGGCAGAGGGGGAUGGAAUUCCGCGUGUAGCAGUGAAAUGCGUAGAUAUGCGGAGGAACACCGAUGGCGAAGGCAAUCCCCUGGGCCUGUACUGACGCUCAUGCACGAAAGCGUGGGGAGCAAACAGGAUUAGAUACCCGCGUAGUCCCUGUCUCUUAUCC
rnacentral:rRNA from 1 species